CCUUCGCCGCUUGUUUCAGGUGCUCUGUGGCGUACGCGCCGACCGAGUGAAACAGGGAAACCGGUGAGUGCGCGCACUUUUCUACAGUGUGGCCACGAUCCCGGCGCUGCCCCCGCAACGGUAAAUGAGUCAAGACGCUGCUUUUGCCACUGUAUCGCCUGCGAUAUGGGAAGGCGCAUCGUCGGCUUGCCCUGGUCAAUCGGGCGCCACUCAUGAGCCCGGAGACCGGCCUGAUUCAUCCAACAGCA
rnacentral:ncRNA from 1 species